rnacentral:sRNA from 1 species
AGAAGAGGGCGAAAAGGGGAAAACAAGUUUUUAGCCGGGGUCUUCCAGCAGGAUCGGGGCAGCGGGUGGGAGUCUCGAGGCAGUGAGGGGGGGCGGGGCGUGGAGAGGAAAGGGCGGAGUCUGGGUAUUUGGACCGUGAUUGUAAAGAAGCUGUUCCAACCCCGUCGGGGGGCGGCGUUUGCAGAGAGGGAAGUAGCGUGAGGCAGGUUGGGGAAGGCGUGAAAGGCCUAGGAGCACCGAGGGGCGGUGGAGGGGUGUGGCCUGGAAUGUUAGGCGGAGCGGGAGGUGGGCCGGGCUUUCGGACGCCCUGUCCCGCAGACGUUGACGAGUGCAGCGAGGAGGACCUUUGCCAGAGCGGCAUCUGUACCAACACCGACGGCUCCUUCGAGUGCGUCUGUCCUCCGGGACACCGCGCCGGCCCGGACCUCGCCUCCUGCCUCGACGUGGACGAAUGUCGCGAGCGAGGCCCAGCCCUGUGCGGGUCGCAGCGCUGUGAGAACUCUCCCGGGUCCUACCGCUGUGUGCGGGACUGCGAUCCUGGGUACCACGCGGGCCCCGAGGGCACUUGUGACGAUGUGAAUGAGUGUGAAACACUACAGGGUGUAUGUGGAGCUGCCCUGUGUGAAAAUGUAGAAGGCUCCUUCCUCUGUGUCUGCCCCAACAGCCCGGAGGAGUUUGACCCCAUGACUGGACGCUGUGUUCCCCCACGAACUUCUGCUGGCACGUUCCCAGGCUCGCAGCCCCAGGCACCUGCCAGCCCCGUUCUGCCGGCCAGGCCACCUCCGCCACCCCCGCCCCGCCGACCCAGCACAUCUAGGCAGGGCCCUGUGGGGAGCGGGCGCCGGGAGUGCUACUUUGACACAGCGGCCCCAGAUGCAUGUGACAACAUCCUGGCUCGGAAUGUGACGUGGCAGGAGUGCUGCUGUACUGUGGGUGAGGGCUGGGGCAGCAGCUGCCGCAUCCAGCAGUGCCCGGGCACUGAGACAGCUGAGUACCAGUCAUUGUGCCCUCACGGCCGGGGCUACCUGGCGCCCAGCGGAGACCUGAGCCUCCGGAGAGACGUGGACGAAUGUCAGCUCUUCCGAGACCAGGUGUGCAAGAAUGGCGUGUGCGUGAACACGGCCCCGGGCUACUCGUGCUAUUGCAGCAACGGCUACUACUACCACACACAGCGGCUGGAGUGCAUCGAUAAUGACGAGUGCGCCGAUGAGGAGCCGGCCUGUGAGGGCGGCCGCUGUGUCAACACUGUGGGCUCUUAUCACUGCACCUGCGAGCCCCCACUGGUGCUGGAUGGCUCGCAGCGCCGCUGCGUCUCCAACGAGAGCCAGAGCCUCGAUGACAAUAUGGGAGUGUGCUGGCAGGAAGUGGGGGCUGACCUCGUGUGCAGCCACCCUCGGCUGGACCGUCAGGCCACCUACACAGAGUGCUGCUGCCUGUAUGGAGAGGCCUGGGGCAUGGACUGCGCCCUCUGCCCUGCCCAGGACUCAGAUGACUUCGAGGCCCUGUGCAAUGUGCUACGUCCCCCUGCAUAUAGCCCACCGCGACCAGGUGGCUUUGGACUCCCCUACGAGUACGGCCCAGACUUAGGUCCACCUUACCAGGGCCUCCCGUAUGGGCCUGAGUUGUACCCACCACCCGCGCUACCCUACGACCCCUACCCACCGCCACCUGGGCCCUUCGCCCGCCGGGAGGCUCCUUAUGGGGCACCCCGCUUCGACAUGCCAGACUUUGAGGACGAUGGUGGCCCCUAUGGUGAAUCUGAGGCUCCUGCGCCACCUGGCCCGGGCACCCGCUGGCCCUAUAGGUCCCGGGACACCCGCCGCUCCUUCCCAGAGCCGGAGGAGCCUCCUGAAGGUGGAAGCUAUGCUGGUUCCCUGGCUGAGCCCUAUGAGGAGCUGGAGGCGGAGGAGUGCGGGAUCCUGGACGGCUGCACCAACGGCCGCUGCGUGCGCGUCCCCGAAGGCUUCACCUGCCGUUGCUUCGACGGCUACCGCCUGGACAUGACCCGCAUGGCCUGCGUUGACAUCAACGAGUGUGAUGAGGCCGAGGCUGCCUCCCCGCUGUGCGUCAACGCGCGCUGUCUCAACACGGAUGGCUCCUUCCGCUGCAUCUGCCGCCCAGGAUUCGCACCCACGCACCAGCCGCACCACUGUGCGCCCGCACGGCCCCGGGCCUGAGCCCUGGCACCCGCUGGCCGCCCACCCGCGCCUGCCACUCGGGGCCCCUGCCGCGCAUCCUGCAGCCCGCUUAUGCGUAUGUGCACGGGGCUGCCCGCCUGGACCUGGAGAAGGGACCUACGGACGCCUGGAAGCCGCGACGCCCUGCACUGCCCCCGCCUCCCCAAGCGCCUCCCACUGAUGUCGUGGUCCCAGGCCUGGCACAGGGGCCCCUUCACAUGCCCUCUCCCUUUUAUAAAAUUUUCCAUUAAAAACCACCUAUUUUGU